CCUACGGGUGGCAGCAGUGGGGAAUAUUGGACAAUGGGCGAAAGCCUGAUCCAGCCAUGCCGCGUGUGUGAAGAAGGCCUUCGGGUUGUAAAGCACUUUCAGUGGGGAAGAAAGCCUUGGGGCUAAUACCCUCGAGGAAGGACAUCACCCACAGAAGAAGCACCGGCUAACUCCGUGCCAGCAGCCGCGGUAAUACGGAGGGUGCGAGCGUUAAUCGGAAUUACUGGGCGUAAAGCGCGCGUAGGCGGUCUGAUAAGCCGGUUGUGAAAGCCCCGGGCUCAACCUGGGAACGGCAUCCGGAACUGUCAGGCUAGAGUGCAGGAGAGGAAGGUAGAAUUCCCGGCGUAGCGGUGAAAUGCGUAGAGAUCGGGAGGAAUACCAGUGGCGAAGGCGGCCUUCUGGACUGACACUGACGCUGAGGUGCGAAAGCGUGGGUAGCAAACAGGAUUAGAUACCCGAGUAGUC
rnacentral:rRNA from 1 species